AGAGCGAACGCUGGCGGCAGGCCUAACACAUGCAAGUCGAGCGCCCGUAGCAAUACGGGAGCGGCAGACGGGAUAGUAACACGUGGGAACGCGCCCUUCGGUUCGGAAUAACUCAGGGAAACUUGAGCUAAUACCGAAUACGCCCUUACGGGGAAAGAUUUAUUGCCGAAGGAACGGCCCGCGUCCGAUUAGCUAGUUGGUGAGGUAAUGGCUCACCAAGGCUACGAUCGGUAGCUGGUCCGAGAGGAUGACCAGCAUCACUGGGACUGAGACACGGCCCAGACUCCUACGGGAGGCAGCAGUGGGGAAUAUUGGACAAUGGGCGAAAGCCUGAUCCAGCCAUGCCGCGUGGAUGAUGAAGGCCUUAGGGUUGUAAAGUCCUUUUAACGGGGAAGAUAAUGACGGUACCCGUAGAAUAAGCCCCGGCUAACUUCGUGCCAGCAGCCGC
rnacentral:rRNA from 1 species